AAAUGCGAGAGCUUCUGGACGCACUGAGGGUAGGGGGAUAUCUACACAUACAUAUAUACAUGUGUGUAUAUUUGUUUGUGUGCAUGUGUGUGUGCGGCAUUAUCAGCGUGUUUAUAUUAAGUGUGACACUCGUUUAUGGGUGUUUUCGAGUGCGAUGCAUUAAAUGCAAGCGAUUAUCUUUUAACACCCGAAGCUAAUCUCAACUGCAGGGGGGUAUAUAUCAACUGAGAAUGAGAGAGAGGGUGAGAAAGAGGGAGAGCAUUUGACUGAUAGUUCCAUUGGAUUUUAGCUCACUCGUAAACCACUCAAGCAACUCAAGCAAAAGCUUUCAAUCUCACCAAAAAUUGUUCAACUUUCGAAAAACUACGUUUUCAGCUUCAAUUUAAGCUUUAAACUCCUUUAGAGAUUUAAGUAAUUCGAAUUAUACUUGAACGAAGUGAUGACAGCAUAAGUUAUCAUGAUUGAGAUUCCGAAUCAGAUGAGUUAUGUGGCCCAAGACCAAAUUCAGUUUCAUCGCUUUCGCUUACAUAGACGAUGGGGGGAUUUCCAUUUAGCAGACGAAUACCCAGUCACUCAGGCAGCCAUUGCAAAUCUAUUGAUAUUUCAAUAGGUAGUUGCUUUCUCAUUGACAAUCCAAUCAUAAUUGCUCCAAAUAUUUUUGAAUUGGAAGAAGUAACGAUGAAAAUGUAUAGAUAGCUCUUCUACAAUGGAAAUCGACAUCAAAAGAUCAGAGCUUAAGUCAACAAACUGAUUCUAGACCCAUGUUAAGACUUGAUUGGCCAUUGUCUUCAAUUUUCCAAGUCAAAAUCUACAAACUUAAUAUGCUAAAUUUUCGAAGAACUUAUCAGUAUCUACAUGUACAUAUCUGUACCCAAGUUCAUGUUUUAACAUUUCUUUAAUUUAUUUACAACGUAAACACUAUUGCAAUUUGCAAAUGUUAUUCGAAACCUAUAACGAACAAUUGACCCAUUUGAGUUAAUGGUCUCAGCAAAGACAGAGAAACAAAGAAGAGGUGCGAGCGAGGAGUGAGACAGGGCGAGAGGGAAAGAAAGAGGUACUACCCCUUGAACGGGCAUUGCAUGAUGCCUUUGAUAAAAAUAUAACAACAAUAAAACAAGUAGAAGUACUUCAAUCAAGAGGGCACGACUGAAAGAUACCCUGCACGUAAAACAAAAAUCUGAAAAACUUUUUUUGUUUAACUAUAAACUGUAAACUGCAAACCGUAAACUGUACUCCCACCCUAAAAUAGUUCACAGAAGAAAUCUUAUAGGACUCGAGAACAUAUAAAAAUCAUAUUCAUCAGAUCGCUUUAAUAUUGAAAUAAUCUCUCACAUCGGUUAUAAUCUUCGUAUUCACGAAGAGAGAUUAAAAGGACAAGUACAUAUUAUAAAAGAUUAUGAAUCGAUAGGAAUGGAAAAGUAGGCAAAUAUCAUUGUACACAAGGCUUUAUCAAUGAGAAUUCUGCUUAAGAAUCUAAUAUAAUACGAUUAACCAAUGAUCAAUAUGCCCUACAUAUUUUCUAUGAGUCCAGGGUACAUUAAAAAAAAAAAAAAAUUGCUGGAAAUUCAAUCAACGCGAAUGCACUCGAAAAAUGUAUUCACAAAAACGAAUCGCCCACAUGGAAAUGAUACUCAACAUAUAUUAUCAACAUAUGUAUAUACAUAUAUACAUAGUUGUACACUCAGAAUGCAAUGGACAGUAAGUGGAAUUGGAAGAGCAAGACCAACAGCAACAGUAACAGUAACAACAACAACAAAGGCAACAAAUUGCACGCAUCUUUCAAUUGAGGAGGUUAGGUCUUCCCCUUAGGGGUAACUGGGGGCACAAUCAUAUUUAUAUAUAUUGUAGUUAUACUAUAUAUUUAGUCGUUGUGCGUUACAAACCCAACUGCACUUUUGCAAUUGAACAAUGUGUGUACUGAAAUCAAAUUCCACGCACUUAAAUGAACAGCAUAACUGUAAA